UACGUAGGGAGCAAGCGUUGUUCGGAUUUACUGGGCGUACAGGGCGCGUAGGCGGCAAAUUAAGUCAGCUGUGAAAUCUCCGAGCUUAACUCGGAACUGUCAGCUGAUACUGAUCUGCUAGAGUGCGGAAGGGGCAAUCGGAAUUCUUGGUGUAGCGGUGAAAUGCGUAGAUAUCAAGAGGAACACCUGAGGUGAAGACGGGUUGCUGGGCCGACACUGACGCUGAGUGCGCGAAAGCCAGGGGAGCAAACGGG
rnacentral:rRNA from 1 species